UCCAUAUUUCCCAGGCUAAUAACAAAGCUUGGCUUGGUAGGUCGGUACGUGGUUUGGCAUGUUUGACGGGGUCAGAAAGAGUUGCAGUUGCACACAGAUAUGGAGUGUCGGUGAUGGAAAUUGGUGAUGAAGGACAAGGUGAGACUGAAGGCAGCCACGAUAAUUCCAUAUCAGUGGAAGAGUUGGAAACCCAAAGCCAAUCAAGCACUGUUACUAAUUUGAUCCGGAAAUUUGAAAAAUGGAUAUGGAGAUGAACAGUAUUGCUCGAAGCUCAACCAGCCAACUCUCUGACAAAGAUGGACAUUAUCGGACCAUGAGGAAGCAUGUGGCAAGAGCUUGUGUGCCGAAAAUGAUUUAGUGAAGGUCAGCUGCUGUUGCUUGAAGUGAGGCGCUCGACCAUUGAUUCAACCAGCCAACUCUCUCACAAACGAUAGAUUUUCAUUGUUUGAGAAUAGCUGGUCGAUCUUGCUAGGCAGUCCAAAGAAUUAAUUACACUAGUCGUCAACCCGUGCGGAUGCACGGGCUAGCCUACAUUAGGUAGAAGUAUGUAAGUUGGACUUUUUUUUUAAUAUUUAUUACAUUGUAUACUUAUUAGAAAUUAAAUGGAAAUAGUAUUUCUAGUAGAUUUUUAUUGAUUGCAAGCAAUAGCACGCGACAACGUAUAUUGGUUAGGUGAUAGAUAUACAUCUAUUUAUGGUUGAAAAAUUAUGCGACACUAA